rnacentral:rRNA from 1 species
GACGAACGCUGGCGGCGUGCCUAAUACAUGCAAGUCGAGCGAAGUUUUUCUGGUGCUUGCACUAGAAAAACUUAGCGGCGAACGGGUGAGUAACACGUAAAGAACCUGCCUCAUAGACGGGGACAACUAUUGGAAACGAUAGCUAAUACCGGAUAACAGCAUAAAUCGCAUGAUAUAUGUUUGAAAGUUGGUUUCGGCUAACACUAUGAGAUGGCUUUGCGGUGCAUUAGCUAGUUGGUGGGGUAAAGGCCUACCAAGGCGACGAUGCAUAGCCGACCUGAGAGGGUGAUCGGCCACACUGGGACUGAGACACGGCCCAGACUCCUACGGGAGGCAGCAGUAGGGAAUCUUCCGCAAUGGGCGAAAGCCUGACGGAGCAACGCCGCGUGAGUGAAGAAGGAUUUCGGUUCGUAAAGCUCUGUUGUUAGGGAAGAAUGAUUGUGUAGUAACUAUACACAGUAGAGACGGNACC